GCGCAAGGGAAAUUCACUCAAGAUAUAUUUUAUGACGAGAAAAUUUAUGUACUCUUAAAAUGUUGUUCUUACAAAAAUUAUAUAUUGUCCAUCUGAUAAAGUAACCACCAAAUUUCACCAACAAACAUAGCAAACUCUUAUCUUACCUUAUAUGAGCCUGCACACACAAUGAAAUAUGAGGCGCUCCAGCUCCAGAACAAUCUAUCAACGAUUUCCUUUGAGGCACCGACCAACCAUAUGCUGAAGAAAGACCCUACUUAGACUUUUUUUGCAAAAAUGAUCGCCUUGUUGAGAGCGGAAAGAUUAUCUCACAAAGAUUGUGAAAAUAUCCUUUAUCGUACAUGUUUCUCUUAACAACCACUUCAACAUCUUCAAGAGGGGAUCUUUGGAAAAAGGCUUUACAUUUGCUUGCUGGACGCUUUGCUUCGCUACUCAUCCCACUGAUGCUUGCCUUAAGUGCUGCAGCACUAGCUCUUGCUUCACUUAGCUUCCUUUGCCAGUUUAUGUACUCUUGCCACUUGAAGGUCUCGUUUGUUGUGGUGUUCAUGAGACACAGGUUGGCAUGGUAUCCGAUAAAUCCUGCCAAUAAGAGAGAAACUAUGGCAAGAAACACCAUAAGAAGUAUUUGAGAGUUAUAUGAGCCCAACAGCCACUGAACAACAUGCGGAGCUAAACUACGGAAUGAAUUUUCAAUGCCAUAGUAAACUGUCAGAAUAUAUAUGACCCUUAAUUCUUUCAACCGCCCUGCAAGAACCAAACCUAGUGCGAUUGUUCCAUAUACACAAAGAAGGAAAUGCCAUAACAAAAAAGCUAAGAAGUAUCGGGUAUUUCUCUCCCCUAUACAAUUAUUCAUCCAUCCACAAUGAUGGUCAAACCGCGCAACACAGCGAUCACAUAUGCUGCAGUGCUUGGACCGAGCAGGUUUGGGAAUUUUACAAGUAGAACAUUCUUUCUCUGCAUAUAUGAUAUUGUCAUAUGGAUAGGCAGAGAGAUAUUCUGAGACAUUAUCAACAUUCACAGUUCCCGGAUCAGAAAAGCUAGUCAAUAGAAAGAGUAGAACACCAACAGCAACUGCCAAAAAGCUUGUGUACCUGUGGAUUUCACUUAAAUAAUACCCAGGAAUAUAGGUAAAAGAUGAAGUUACAAUGAAGUAAUAAGUUCCUCCAAUAAUUGCCAAAUACAAAACCUGCAACGUAGGGUUAGGGCGAUCACAGCAAAAAUGCUCAAUGGAGAGAAUGAAAUUCGUGCCCUUACUCCCAAACACGGUCCCUAUAAAACGCAGGAAGUAUUCGU
rnacentral:misc_RNA from 1 species